CUGAGUUUAGGUCGGAGACCUGAUCGAUAAUGCUGUCGGUGGGGGCUUAGCCUCCUCGUGGUUGACGUCCCGGCGACAGUGCCGGGAUUUGGAGUGCCCUGAUCCCUUGAAUCACGGCUUAAUUACAGAAAACCUACCCGGCCGCGCUAAACAGUGGCCGUGUGCAGUGUGCUGAUAACUACGCUUAGCUUGUCCAGGCGAGGAGACUUGUCCUGUCCUUAUAACUACACGUAAUGGCUUAGAACAAGUAUAAUAAGGUACGGUCAGCAGGCUGUAAGAAUUAAAAUACUACUCCC
rnacentral:lncRNA from 1 species